rnacentral:rRNA from 1 species
UACAGAGGGGGCAAGCGUUGUUCGGAAUUACUGGGCGUAAAGGGCGCGUAGGCGGCCUGUGAAGUCGAACGUGAAAUCCCCGGGCUCAACCCGGGAACUGCGUCCGAUACUGGCAGGCUUGAAUCCGGGAGAGGGAUGCGGAAUUCCAGGUGUAGCGGUGAAAUGCGUAGAUAUCUGGAGGAACACCGGUGGCGAAGGCGGCAUCCUGGACCGGCAUUGACGCUGAGGCGCGAAAGCCAGGGGAGCAAAGCGGG